UACGUAGGGUGCAAGCGUUGUCCGGAAUUAUUGGGCGUAAAGGGCUCGUAGGCGGUCCAUCACGUCGGGAGUGAAAAGCUGGGGCUUAACCCCAGUCCUGCUUCCGAUACGGGUGGACUAGAGGUAGGCAGGGGAGAACGGAAUUCCGUGGUGUAGCGGUGAAAUGCGCAGAUAUCAGGAGGAACACCGGUGGCGAAGGCGGUUCUCUGGGCCUUACCUGACGCUGAGGAGCGAAAGCCAGGGGAGCAAACGGG
rnacentral:rRNA from 1 species